rnacentral:rRNA from 1 species
GACAAACGCUGGCGGCGUGCCUAAUACAUGCAAGUCGAACGAGGUAGCAAUACCUAGUGGCGCACGGGCGAGGAACACGUAGAUAAUCUGCCUUAAGCUGGGGGAUAACUAGUCGAAAGACUAGCUAAUACCGCAUAAGACCACAAGAUCUGAGGAUCAAGGGGUUAAAGGAGUAAUCCGGCAUAAGAUGAGUCUGCGUC